GUGGCCCUACGGGGCGCAGCAGUGGGGAAUAUUGCACAAUGGGGGAAACCCUGAUGCAGCGACGCCGCGUGAGUGAAGAAGUAUUUCGGUACGUAAAGCUCUAUCAGCAGGGAAGAAAAUGACGGUACCUGACUAAGAAGCCCCGGCUAACUACGUGCCAGCAGCCGCGGUAAUACGUAGGGGGCAAGCGUUAUCCGGAUUUACUGGGUGUAAAGGGAGCGUAGACGGCAUGGCAAGUCUGAAGUGAAAGCCCGGGGCUCAACCGCGGGACUGCUUUGGAGACUGUUAAGCUGGAGUGCAGGAGG
rnacentral:rRNA from 1 species